AACUUGAGGGAGUUGAAAUUGAGGACACUGAUUUGGUGCGAUGGAGAGCUCAGCGAGGAAGUCUCCUAAGCCUUAACCUCCUAAGCAUUCGUCAUUGCUACAAAUUACAACAACUCAAUUGGACGCGUGAUCCCUCAAUGGUUGCCACUGCAAUUGAGUUAGUUGAGUGCAAUCCCUUAGCCGUCGCUUCUGCCAUGCAAUUAAAGCCUGAAUAUAUGUUUCAAAUUCGUUCUCACUCUUCUUUUUGAUAUCAAGGUUAAUAGGAAAUGUGAGGGCAAAAGUUGCCAGAUAGCAAGGUAUGAUUUAUUUCAAUUGUAUUAGUAUCAGCAUGUUUUUUCUUAAGAUAAGCAUAUUGAUUUGUUGGAUUUUGUUGAGGUUUAUAAAACCCAAAUAAAAUUACUGUAACCGACACUUCUGUGAGUUAAUUUGUGUGAAAAAUACUAAAGACAACCGUGGUAAAGUUUCAUAGAAAUUAGGAAACAAUAUGUGAUAAAUAAGUAGGAAAAUAUAUUUGAUUAUGUUUUAGCAUGUUGGUUUGCAUGUUGUAGAAAACUCACUACAAGAGCAAUGUUACUCCCUGCGACCACAAUUAUGUGUCUCACAUUUCCUUUUUUCGUCCGUCUACAAUUAAGUGUCUCAUUUACUUUUUACUACUUUUGGUAAUGGACCACACAUUUCAUUAACUCGUCUCACUCACAUUUCAUUAUAAAACUAGCUUAAGUGUUCACAUUAAUUAUGUAGGAGUUUAUUCACUUCUAAUUCAAAAAAUGGUUGACAUACUAGAGAAAGAGUGAUAAGCUUAUUUGUGUCACCUAUUUUCGAUCAAAUUCAAUAGAUAAAAUGGAACUUAUCCGCAUGUAAAGAUGCUUUUGUUGCAGGGCCUAAGUUAAACAAUGAAGGGAUUUCCAAUUGUGAUUGAGACAAAGUUACUUAUCUUAGAGCGCGUUACCUGCUCACAUGUGCCGCGCGCGUGGUUACUGUUCUGCGGUUGGGAGGAAGUAUUUAAUAAGAAACUGUAUCACAAACAAAGAUAUUCGAAAGGAGGACCGAUGACAAUGCCCAACUAACCGUAGAUGUCAGGAUAACAUUAAGCUUUGCCUUGUUAUACUUAUUUAGGAUUGUUGGUUGUUAGUACUGAUCAAAUGUGUGUGCUAAUCAAUUCUGCCUAUUUGUUGGCUUAUUUGUAUUGCAAUUUGCUUCCUUAUCUAUGCUAUACUUUUUUGCUUUUUCCUCA